rnacentral:rRNA from 1 species
CCUACGGGAGGCAGCAGUAGGGAAUCUUCCACAAUGGGCGAAAGCCUGAUGGAGCAACGCCGCGUGGGUGAAGAAGGUCUUCGGAUCGUAAAACCCUGUUGUUAGAGAAGAAAGUGCGUGAGAGUAACUGUUCACGUUUCGACGGUAUCUAACCAGAAGGCCAGGGCAAACUCCGUGCCAGAGGCCGCGGUAAAACGUAGGUGGCAAGCGUUAUCCGGAUUUAUUGGGCGUAAAGGGAACGAAGGCGGUCUUUUAAGUCUGAUGUGAAAGCCUUCGGCUUAACCGGAGUAGUGCAUUGGAAACUGGGAGACUUGAGUGCAGAAGAGGAGAGUGGAACUCCAUGUGUAGCGGUGAAAUGCGUAGAUAUAUGGAAGAACACCAGUGGCGAAAGCGGCUCUCUGGGCUGUAACUGACGCUGAGGUUCGAAAGCGUGGGUAGCAAACAGGAUUAGAUACCCUUGUAGUC